AUGAAGCUGUAUUCAUUUUCAGGAAAUAAUUCACAAAUUAAAGCACUCCUUAUUCAGAAAGUUGCAAAUGGUCAUUCAUUAAUUGCAGCAUUAGAUGUCCCUCCUAUAGAGCUUUCUGCUGACCACUAUUGUGCUCUGCCCUGGCUGUGUGCACGCAGUGCCUCUUACAAAACAGGACUUGCAUAAUACACAGCUUGGAAAGCAAUUUGUCUGGCCCGCUCACUGGCUGAGAAGCUGUGCAUACUUGCUGUCUGGCAGCUGGCAAGUCAUCUCAAGGAUAGCUGUUCUGGAAGGAAACAGAAAAAGGUUCCUUUGAAAAGAAGGCUGGUAUCUAAAAAAUGUUUGUGUGGUGCUAUCUUUUUGUGCUAGUGCAAGAAAGUAAAAAUGUGCUUACACAUGGAGAGUGAGUAGGAGAGAUACUGCUAUAGACUACAACUGGAUGUAGGCAGUUGGGAAGGCAUUGUUCUGGAGGGAAGAGGGAAAGGACGUUGGAUGGAUAAGUCAUGGGAAGAGAUGACAUAUAGCCCAAAGUUAAUAAAAUAAGGUCAUUCAAACCCCA
rnacentral:lncRNA from 1 species